rnacentral:rRNA from 1 species
AUUGAACGCUGGCGGCAGGCCUAACACAUGCAAGUCGAGCGGAUGAAGGGAGCUUGCUCCUGGAUUCAGCGGCGGACGGGUGAGUAAUGCCUAGGAAUCUGCCUGGUAGUGGGGGAUAACGUCCGGAAACGGGCGCUAAUACCGCAUACGUCCUGAGGGAGAAAGUGGGGGAUCUUCGGACCUCACGCUAUCAGAUGAGCCUAGGUCGGAUUAGCUAGUUGGUGGGGUAAAGGCCUACCAAGGCGACGAUCCGUAACUGGUCUGAGAGGAUGAUCAGUCACAGUGGAACUGAGACACGGUCCAGACUCCUACGGGAGGCAGCAGUGGGGAAUAUUGGACAAUGGGCGAAAGCCUGAUCCAGCCAUGCCGCGUGUGUGAAGAAGGUCUUCGGAUUGUAAAGCACUUUAAGUUGGGAGGAAGGGUAGUAAGUUAAUACCUUGCUGUUUUGACGUUACCAACAGAAUAAGCACCGGCUAACUUCGU